AAAUAUUUCUUGGGACUCCACGAGAAAUUACUAUUUAAAAAAAGGUUCUAUGGCUGAAAAAGUUUGGGAACCGCUGUUUUAAAGUAAGCAACAACAAUAUUGUAAUAAAUUCGUCGAAUUUUGAAUAGAUUUGAAAUCAAAUCAAUGUUGUUAAUUUUUUGCAAAGUUCUUUCACUAAAUUUUACAUUAUAAUUUUAAAACCUAAUAUUUUUCAUCGAUAAAUAUUGUAAACCAACUCUUACAUGUGUAGUCCGUAGGAUAGAUAAACUCUCAGAAUAAUUGAAUCGGUCAUUUCAAAAACGACUUAAGUCAUUAUGUCAUUAUAAGGCCGCUAUCGGUUUUAAAUGAACGUUGUCGUCUUACGUUGGUACGGUAAUAUAGGAUGAUUAUCACUGCGAUACACAUAAAGUUACGCGUUACUGUACGGCAAAUUCGUAACACAGGCAACGACGACGACGGAGAGAAGACGCCGUCCGUUGAAGUGAUGGAAAUCUCGCCCAACUGCGGUCUUCGACUACAUGCCCGGACAACACUUUUUCGGUGCACGUGUACACCGGAAGGAACACGACGAAUUUCCCGAAGCUGUGCGUCAUGGGAAAAUAGUGAGUGUGCCGUCGACUUACACCGUGGCGGCUUUGAAAAACUUUGAGACGUACGAACGCAGCAGCUCGGAAAUGGACGUGUGGUUGGAGGUGGCGAGGUCGUCCAUUUAAAAGCGGUCACAUGGCGAUUUUCUUUACUUUUGACGAAGCGUCCAAGAAACUGACAAAGAACUCGAGGAACGCGCUUUAUGAAAUGGGAAGCGGACGGGUCCAAAAUCUCAGAUACAGGUGUCAGUGGUACAUGGUCACGCAAAAAGGUAUUUGAGGGAUAACACCUUACGAGAAAAUCACGUAUUCUCACAAAAACGUGUGGGCGGAACCGUUAGACGACAGAUUUUGCGUACCCUUUAAAAUCGAAGGAAAUGCAAUCGUUGUCGACGAACCGACCGACUACAGAUCAUCGUAUCAAUUUUGCAACAAGCCGACCUCGGGAUCGAAGACAACAGCUGUGGACAAUCAAUACGGCGGCGGCGACUGUGACAAAUCAAAUGAUGACGACAGACAAACGACUGACAGCGUCGCCGAAACAAGAGAUACUUUUAACUAUUAUUAUUAAUAUGGAGAAGUUCUCUUCAACACUGCCCCACCAAUAAAUCAUUAACGAGUCAUUUUCUGGGCUCAUAAAAUGUCUGUAGAUAUUUCAUAUAAACGUAGAUAGUUGUAUUAUUAUUUUUAUUUUUUUAUCCCGAAAAAGCAGUACAAUCGUCCAAAUGGAAUUAUUUAAAACAAGUGUCUCGAACGCAUAUCUCUAAGAGAAGAGAAAUCCAAAAUCAAAAGUGGUGACGUGGCAUAGUUGGAUCAAGUAUAAUGAUAUCUGACAGUGAUUAAAAUCAUUAUCAAAAAUAAACACUUCAAUGCAAAUCUUUAGAUAGUGUUUAAUUUUAAACAAUUGGUGGAUUAUUCCAAAAGCUACAUGAUCUGCUAUUUUCUUAUUAAUAUCCUGAUUAAGAUAAAGUAUGUCGAAUGAAAAAGGGAUUAUUAAAAAAUAUUAUUUCUCAUAAAAAA